AACAGCCGCAGAUAAAGUGUUGGAUGUUUAAAAAGUAGCAGAAGAUAGACUCUGUGACAGGAAGUUGAGGUGUCAGGCCACUGAGCGAUAUGCUGUUUGCACACACUUGUCUUUAAAGAAUGGAACCACCAGAUAAUGAGCAAGAGGACACAGCUGUCACUGGGAUGAUGAAGUAACUCCAAGGAAGUUCAACUUUGUCUGUGGUAAAAUGCAAUCGUUUGAAGAGAGGAAUGGGAUUUCCUACAAAAUCUGUACGGAUGCAAACAGGUUCAUUGGAUGUUGACCAGCCUCCACAUGAAGUUGCAGGUGAAUAUCCCCUCAGGAUACGGAGAGAGGUACAGAAGGAUCAGAAACCUCGGUUCCAGUUUCUCUAGAUGAGUGCGGCGUAGUGCUGCUGCAGGCUGUGGAUAUCCCAGGACACCGUCACUGAACAGUGCCAUCUGCCAGAGAAAAUUAUGCACCCUUCAUUCAGGAUCCCCUAAAUCAUUAAGUGGGGGUCCAUGGCCUAGUGGUACUAUCAAUAGACUCUUAAUCCAGAAACUCAGCUACUGUUCUUGGGACCUGGGUUCAAAUC